rnacentral:ncRNA from 1 species
AAUUAAAAAGUACUCCGAGCCUGAUCACCUAAACCGUAAAGAAGGUAUGGUGGCAGGCCGUUAGGGCGUAGUGGGAAACUGUUGCGCCUCCCGUACUGGAAAGGAGUGGCUUGAAAGGAGGU